rnacentral:RNase_P_RNA from 2 species
CGAGCAGGCCAGAUGGCAGCGCGCGCAGCGCCGAAAGGCCGCGUGUGAGGAAAGUCCGAGCUCCGCAGGGCGGGAUAGCUGCUAACGGCAGCCGGGGGCGACCCCAGGGACAGUGCAACAGAGAGAUACCGCCGCGCGCUUUGCGCGGUAAGGGUGGAAAGGCGAGGUAAGAGCUCACCGGCACACUGGCGACUGUGUGGCCAUGUAAACCCUAUCCGGAGCAACACCGCAUAGAGGGCACAAAGCGGCGGCCCGCCGCGCCCUCGGGUAGGUGGCUGGAUUUGCCCGGCGACGGGCAAACAAGAUAGAUUGUCGUCAAAUACAGAACUCGGCUUACAGACCUGGUCGGUGG